GCACCAAGCAGACAGGCUGUGCCAGGACUCUUCAGAGAUGCCACUGCCUUUCUCCCAACCAUGCCUAUCAGGGGCACUUCUGUUGCUGGUGGUGUCAAACCUCCUUUUAUGGGAGAACGUGGCCUCUGGACCUUUGAGUAGAAAUGAGGCCAAUGAUGAUCCACUAUCCAUCAAGGGACUAUUUCUUAAUGCCACAAGACUGUCUCAGAAUAUUAGGGACCUCAACAUGAAAUUGCGCAGGACAUAUACAGUCAAUGGAGUCUCUGAAAACUUAUACCAUAAAUAUCUGCUUGAGUUUAUUGAGGAUAUGGAGUUUCUGGUCAAGGCGCUCACCUGCUGCCACAAUUAUUCCAUCAAAACUCCAGAAAACCUGGAUGACGCUCAAGAAAUCCCUUUUAACGACAUUCCAAAACUGAUCCUCAGUAGAAUGUGGGCUUGGAAUGAAACUUCUAAAAAUCUACUGACCAUACUCAGAAGUAUUCCAAGAAUGCACAAUGAUGUCAUUUCAUUAGCCAAAGACAUUGAAACAAAACUUGCAGAGCUUUUUGAGUACAUCCAGAGUAUACUCAGCUCGAUUUAUGGGCCAACAGAAAAUGUUGAUCACACCGUCUUUUCUGGAUCUGAAGACUUAAAAUCAUCUGAUGAAGAAUUUCGCCUUCUUGGUCUUUGUAAAUUUUCCUAUUGCUUACGUGAAGAUAUGCAUAUGGUUGAACUUUAUCUUAAGCUAUUUGAGUGUGUAGUAUAUAUUAAUAGUGAUGAUUGCUUAUUCAGCAAUAUUAGAGAUGCUUCAUGAUACUGAACAUUUUAAAUAACCUUAAUUUUAUAAUUGUGAAGGUAAGAGUGAGUACAAUGGUGUCUUUUAAAAGAAAAAUAAAUUAUAUAUAUAUAUAUAUAUAUAUAUAUAU